GAAACCGUGCCCGAACGCCAAGGGGCCACUUUGAUAGAGUGACUUAUGGAGGUUAAAAUCCUCCCAGUUUUU
rnacentral:tRNA from 1 species